rnacentral:rRNA from 1 species
CCAAUAGCGUAUAUUAAAGUUGUUGCAGUUAAAAAGCUCGUAGUUGAAUUUCGGGGUUUAUCCGUUGGUCGGGCUUUUGGGUCUGUACUGGCGUGAUGGAUUCCUACCUUCUGAAUAACCAGCAUGUCAUUAAUUUGGUGCGUUGGGGAAGCAGGACUGUUACCUUGAAAAAAUUAGAGUGCUUAAAGCAGGCUAUUGCCUGAUUACAUUAGCAUGGAAUAAUGAAAUAGGACGCAUGGUUCUAUUUUGUUGGUUUCUAGGAUCACCGUAAUGAUUAAUAGGGAUAGUUGGGGGCAUUAGUAUUCAAUUGUCAGAGGUGAAAUUCUUGGAUUUAUUGAAGACUAACUUCUGCGAAAGCAUUUGCCAAGGAUGUUUUCAUUAAUCAAGAACGAAAGUUAGGGGAUCAAAGACGAUCAGAUACCGUCGUAGUCUUAACCAUAAACUAUGCCGACUAGGGAUCGGACGAUGUUAAUUUUUUAAUGACUCGUUCGGCGCCUUACG